rnacentral:rRNA from 1 species
UACGUAGGGCGCAAGCGUUAGUCCGGAAUUAUUGGGCGUAAAGAGCUCGUAGGCGGUUUGUCGCGUCUGCCGUGAAAGUCCGGGGCUCAACUCCGGAUCUGCGGUGGGUACGGGCAGACUAGAGUGAUGUAGGGGAGACUGGAAUUCCUGGUGUAGCGGUGAAAUGCGCAGAUAUCAGGAGGAACACCGAUGGCGAAGGCAGGUCUCUGGGCAUUACUGACGCUGAGGAGCGAAAGCAUGGGGAGCGAACAGG